rnacentral:tRNA from 1 species
GCCCGGGUGGCUUAGCUGGACAUAGCGCCGCACUCAUAGGGUUUCCUGAGAUUCGGUGCGGAUUCGCCUUGGAAGCCUCCGCCGCCCUACGGGGCCCGCCGAGCCUCGGACCUGGGAAAUGCGGAGAUCGUGGGUUCGGAGCCCACCCCGGGCA